UAGGGAAUAUUGGGCAAUGGGCGGAAGCCUGACCCAGCCACGCCGCGUGCAGGAAGACGGCCCUCUGGGUUGUAAACUGCUUUUAACUGGGAAGAAAAGAGGCUAUGCGUAGCAAGUUGACGGUACCAGUUGAAUAAGCCACGGCUAACUACGUG
rnacentral:rRNA from 1 species